CGAAAAAAAAAAACGCCUAGCGAUGUCCCACGCAGUCGAAGGCAAACCUCCUGUCGCACCAGAGAAAAAGGCCAAAAAUAACCUACAAAAAAAUCUAUGAAAUUAAACCAGCAAAAAAAACUGCUAAACGAACCGCACGCACGUCCGAGUGACGCCUCCUGCUCCUCUCGAUCCCCUCGACCUACGAUCUGUGACUGCAGAUGCACGAGAUCGCCACUGCCGCGGACCUCGCAAGGAAGACACGGACGAGAUCCCAAUCCGCUGCUCCUCCUCUCCCGAGAUGCAGCCGCCGCCGCCGAACCAGGGAGACACCAGUGACCGUCACCGCCGUCGUGGAUCACCAGGACUCCGCCGCCUGCACCGCCACCGCCGUGCCUCAGAUACGUCACGGAUCACCGGGACGCGACUAUCGCAGAUCACUAGGACACCGCCGGCAGCGGCGCCUCAGAUACCAGCGACCGACGGCGGCGCCUCAAAUAUCGGCGACCGGCGGUGAUCUAAGACCAACGAGUCGGCGCCACAUCCCUGGUACUUCCCUCCCCCAUCCGCCAACCCUCUACCCUCCCCCUCUACAAAGGCCAGUGCGGCCCUGUCCGUCCGACCUUUCCGGACGUGACCAAGGAUGGUUGUGCAUCCCGACGCCUCUCUUCUCCAUUGAUCCCCCAUCUCCUCAAGGUGAAUCUUCUCUAGAAGGUACCCCUCUCCUCUCCAACGAUCCACCAUCUCCUCUUCUGUUUUUAUCCCUCGAUUGGUAACCCAAGAACUUGAUGGCUCUGGACUGAGAUGUAGACUUCCCAGUGGAACUACCUGUGCGCAGGAGGAUCUGAUGAUGCCGAACGCAACCAUGGAGGACUAGGAGCACGGGGAGAGGAUGUGGGAGUGGGUGGUCUCCGUGGUUAGCUACUUCGCUUUUAUUUUUGAUGGUCUGAGGUAGGAGAGCUAGAUGCACACCCUUAGCUCGACUUUUAUGAUUCAGUUCCGUCAGAGUAGCUUUUACAUGAGAAAUGCGCCGACAUAUUCAGCCAGAGUACUGGGCUUUGGACUGUGAACUUCUUCUAAGCUCACCUCGAACCCGUGAAAAAUAAAAUCAUGUCAGUGGAACUUUGUGUACUUUUUCCAUAGCAUUCAUUUAUAAUCAGUUAAUUUGGUCAGAAAACGAUUUUGCUGUGCGUACAACAGUUAGACAUAUUUUUUUUACAAUCCUGAUUUAAGCCACACAUCUCACAGAGCUGAAGUGAUCCAGCAAUUGACAGAUGCAUAUCAUCCAGAUCCAGGGGUACGUAUAGCAUCUGCAAUCUCAUCUGGGAGUGUCGUACGUAUAGCAUCCAGGAUGGCUAUUUAAAACUUUGAUAGCAUUACUUGUCAGAAAAAUGUCAUCCAAAAGUUGAAGUGAGCUCAAAACAAGUGAAUUCAUAAACACUUGAAAACCAAAAACUGAACUGAGGUUUUACUUUGUUUGUCAUGCAAACUUCAGGUUUAGCUUGACCCAUCUAAUACUAAUAUGGGAGAUGGACAGGACAUUCUAGAUCAUCAAAUUGUUGAGGAGGAAGAAGGCAUUGUGCUUGGAGGCGGGACUGACAGUGACUAUCAAGAGAUACCUAUAUGGUUAACCUGUUGAGACCAAUGUCCAAGAUUCAGUGUGGUAAUCUGCAGCAAUCAAGUUAACAAAUCUGAAGCAUUUUAGCAACGCAACGGUGCAAGUGCUCUUUUGGUGGAAGAUGAAGCUUUUGUUGGACUUGUGAUGUUUUUUCUGAAGAAGACUGACAAUGAACUCAAAAGAUAGAUGUCAUGCGGUAUUUGUGAUAUAGAACUAAAUGAUCGAGGACUAUAGUAGCUCCAGAAAGGAUGGCAUUCUUCAUAUUGUGAUGCAACGUCAUGAUACUAGGUUGUUCCUAUUUGUUCGGAUGCAAGUUCUAUAAUAGUAGGUUGCUACUACGGGAUUACCUAAUGUUGCUUCAUGUCUGUUAUAUCUUCCAAUAUUUACAGAAACUUCCGAAACUAACACCAGGUCAGGACAUUCUGAUGAUAACCUUCCAGUUUUACUGAAUCAUUGUUACUUGAGUAAUCUCUAUUCCUAAAGUGUUCUUCAAAGGUGCUCAUCAAAUCUGUCGAUACACAACACUGCAGUUAUUGGUGGUUUACACCGGAUAGUUUCUAGACCUUUAUCGCAAGAUGGACGAACUUGGCAUCUGAGCCAGUAAUCUACCUCAUCAAUAGUGUGAUGUCCCUUUGCAUGAAGUUAGGCCAACAUCAGAAGGUCCGUAGCCUUUUUGAGGAGAUGAAGGUGAAGAAUAUUAAGCCGGAUAACCUCACAUGUUGCCUUCUAAUGACUAGCCAUGCGGCAUUGAACAAGAUAGAUGUUGUUGGAGAAGUUUUAGAAGAAAUGCAAGAGAAGGAUGUAGUCUAGGGUGGUCUGCAUAUAGCAUGGUUUCUAUCUACCUGAGUGUUGGUUUGGUUUUAAAAAACAGUCCGCUCCGAAGAAACUCGAGGGCCUUGCUUUUAGAAGGUAACAUAAAUAUCUAGAUUGAUUGUUCAUGGUCCUGGGGCUGUUUGUUAUAGUUCAGGCAAGAGUUUAGUCCAUAAUACUCAAUUUCAUCCUGCUUGCAUCACCACCACCGUGUAAUAUAACAUAGUACUAUGCACAACGAUGCAUCAGCACUAAGCUCAACAUCUAAAUAACUUGAAAUGUUGGCUCAGAGUAUUUUUACUUCAUAAAAAUGAUUUUAUUUUUCCUGAUGCAUUGCUAUUUAGGCUUCAUUAUUCUGCAAUUUCUGUCAAAGUAAUAAACAUGACAUGUAUAAUUUGGUAAUGAACCGCAAAAUAUAUAGAUGUCCCUUGUUUUGUUAUUUAGGCUUCAUUAUUCUAAAAAAUAUAUUUAUUACUUUGGUUACUCAGAUUACCACAAAAUAUAUAAGUUAUUUAGGCUUAUAUUUUGUUAUUGUUCUACAAAAUAUAUAAGUUUUUUAGGCAUAUACAAUAACUUAGCGCAGAAUAUAUUUUGUUAUUUAGGCUUCAUUAUUCUACAAUUUCUGGCAAAUCAAUAAACAUGC